rnacentral:lncRNA from 1 species
AUGUCUUAAUUCGGUCCUCAGUUAAACUGGCGGUGGGCGCUGCUUUUUUUCCAGGGAAGGAUUCUGGAAGACAUAGGAGGAGACGCCAGCAUUUCGCCCUCCAGCACCUCCUGCGGGCUGUGGUCCGCUUCCGGCCUCACUCGAGCAGACCCCGCCCUCCCAGAGGCCGUUUGUCCAAGUCACGUGAUCGUCGAAUCUGUUGACCUGGCGCCACCGGAAAAAGAAAUUCCCGGGCCCUGGCUUCUUGGCCUGAUGGCACUGCUAGCCUUGAAGCCUCCAGCCUGCUGGAUGCCUCCAUCCCCGGCUAUGCUGUGGCUCUCCUCAUUCUAGGCCUCCUGCUCGUCACAUUCACCCUUGUCCUGGUGCUAAAGUGGAGGGCCUCCCAUGGGGUGUUCAGCCUGGGUGUGUAGAAGCACACAGUGUGGUACAGAGGACCCUCUCCAGACAGCUGCCUCCCACCAACCCUAGAAAUGAUGCUGGGAGCUGACAGAAACUGAACUUAGGAGCACAGGAGGCCAGGAGACCUGGGACAGAGAACAGGAGGUGACCCCUCAUGCUGCUGCUCCCUCUGCUGAAACCCAAACUGCAAACCUCUCCUCUCCCUGCCUUCACCUUGCCCCACGGCUUCCACAGACAGUGCCUCAACCCCGAGGAAUGAAUCCGAAGUUCCAACACCACUGACUUUCCCAGGAACUCAGAGCCAGAGAGGGCCAAGGACCAGCUCGAGGACACACAGCCAGGGCUUCUUCCCUCCGAAACCCCCAAGGACUGGACUUGCAGGGCUGGGACAGAGGUGGGGUGGGGGAAAGCAAUGCCUUGUCAACCCACGUGGGGAGCCCCACUCCCAUCCCCAAGGUGCAUAAAGUUGAGGAACACCCCUGCU